UCCAGGAAAAACACAUAACUGUACCAGAAAAUUGUGAUUCACAUGUGAAGGAAAUUAAAAUGUGGCAUGAUUUUAAGCAAUUGAUGAUAUGUAAGGAAAGGGAAGUAUUUGAGCUUAACAUAUGAAACAAUCUAUUUGGAGGCCUUAUUUUACUUUUAUUACGGAAAAAUUCAAACAUAGGCAAAAGUCGAAAAAAAUAGCAAAAGGAACCAUGUACCCAUCACUCACCUUCAACAACUAUCAAGCUUGGCUUCAUCUCAAAUAUCCAGUCAGUUUUCAAAUUUCCCUAAAUGUCUCAUAGUUUUUCCUUUUUGACAGUUGGCUUGUUUGAAUCAGGAUCCUGACAAGGUCUCUUUAUUACAUUUAGUUUCCAUGUCUCCUAAAUCUCUCCCAGGCUGCGGGGGAAUGCUCCACUUUGGACAGAAACAAUCUAGGGAUUUGACACUUUCUUCUCUACUGAUCCAGUCACCAGCUCAAACCUGCAGGGAUUGUUUUGUUUCUGCUUUAAAGGCUAAAUCCCUUGUUUUAAUCACUAUUGUUUCCUGGGCAGUUUUCAAGUUCAGGCUACUUCAAGCUCUCUCAAAUCUUCAGUUUCUUUAGAGUCAAAAGAAUCUCCCAUUUCUUUCAGCCUUAAAGGACCUUUUCUUGGUGGUCCCGUCCCUAUAGAAAUUUGAGAUCCCCCAUUCCAGCAUAAACACUGAGGCAGGUGUCUAGCCUAGAAAUCUGGACUUCUGUGUUUACCAAAGUUUAUUAGGAGCGCCCCUGGUUAUACACACUGUGAAUACUUGAGUGCCAGAUGUGAUUAAAGAUAUCCAAACAAUGCUCUAAUUUAUAAGUGAACUUCUCAGAAAAUCCAGAAAGUUCAGGUUUGGAGCCAAAAGGUGUUUGGAGCUGCUGCCAUGGAUCCCGGGUUUUGUUAUAAACAGCCCACUUGACCAUGAAGAUGAAGGAGGGGCCUGUCCUGGGGCACACAGACUGCCAUUAUGGGAUCUUCUGUCUCUGGCCCAAACCUGGGUCGUAGGUUCUGGACUUUACCCUUUCCCUCCUCUUUAUCAGGGUGGUUGGUUAUAGGAGGGGCAAGAAAAAUAGGCAGGGCUGGAACACAAGAUGAAGGGAGCUUUGACCUUAGUUUCCCAAGACCUCACAGCUACUCAGUUGCCAGGCCAGAGUGUGAACCCAGGUCAGUCUGGCUGCAUAUUUUAACCUCUUCUUUCUCCCCACUCCCGUGGAAACUGGAAGCCAACAGGAGAUGUCCUCAUGGGACCUGGGGCUUCCUCAAGGGGCCCAGAGGGAAUCAGAAUGGCCAAGUUUCCUGCAGUUAAACAGUUGACUCAGACAAAUAUCGACAGACACUCCUGGAAACGUGAAGCCAACUAACAAAAGUGGUCCUUUUGACAGAUAAGGAAACUGAGGCACAGAGACAGCUUUAAGCCAUUUGCCCAAGGCCACUACAGCUGGGAUCCACACCAGGCUUGGUGAUAGCAGAGCCUGCCCUCACCUCUCUGAGGGUCUGCCUCUCUCAGUGGGAAACUGAAUGUACAAUCCAAUCGUUGCUGUUAUCUUCCCAAUCAUUGAAGAUGAAGAAUCUGAGACUCAGAAACAUUAAGUGACUUGCUUGAGAUCACAAAGCGUGUAAGUGAUAUAGCACUGGGAUAUGAAACAGAUUGAGCUGGCUUCAUUAUUUCCCCACUGCCCCACCUCUGACAAGCUGUCUACUCCCUCGGCACCCUCCUGGUAGGACACCAGAAUCCUUCAUGGCACCCGUGCAUCGCGAUGACCCCAUCUGUGUGACAUUGCAGGUGCACACCAUUCAUCACAGUGCAUCUCACU